rnacentral:rRNA from 1 species
GACGAACGUUGGCGGCGUGCCUAAUACAUGCAAGUUGAGCGCUGAAGGUUGGUACUUGUACCGACUGGAUGAGCAGCGAACGGGUGAGUAACGCGUGGGGAAUCUGCCUUUGAGCGGGGGACAACAUUUGGAAACGAAUGCUAAUACCGCAUAAAAACUUUAAACACAAGUUUUAAGUUUGAAAGAUGCAAUUGCAUCACUCAAAGAUGAUCCCGCGUUGUAUUAGCUAGUUGGUGAGGUAAAGGCUCACCAAGGCGAUGAUACAUAGCCGACCUGAGAGGGUGAUCGGCCACAUUGGGACUGAGACACGGCCCAAACUCCUACGGGAGGCAGCAGUAGGGAAUCUUCGGCAAUGGACGAAAGUCUGACCGAGCAACGCCGCGUGAGUGAAGAAGGUUUUCGGAUCGUAAAACUCUGUUGGUAGAGAAGAACGUUGGUGAGAGUGGAAAGCUCAUCAAGUGACGGUAACUACCCAGAAAGGGACGGCUAACUACGUGCCAGCAGCCGCGGUAAUACGUAGGUCCCGAGCGUUGUCCGGAUUUAUUGGGCGUAAAGCGAGCGCAGGUGGUUUAUUAAGUCUGGUGUAAAAGGCAGUGGCUCAACCAUUGUAUGCAUUGGAAACUGGUAGACUUGAGUGCCUUAGAGGAGAGUGGAAUUCCAUGUGUAGCGGUGAAAUGCGUAGAUAUAUGGAGGAACACCGGUGGCGAAAGCGGCUCUCUGGCCUGUAACUGACACUGAGGCUCGAAAGCGUGGGAGCAAACAGGAUUAGAUACCCUGGUAGUCCACGCCGUAAACGAUGAGUGCUAGAUGUAGGGAGCUAUAAGUUCUCUGUAUCGCAGCUAACGCAAUAAGCACUCCGCCUGGGGAGUACGACCGCAAGGUUGAAACUCAAAGGAAUUGACGGGGGCCCGCACAAGCGGUGGAGCAUGUGGUUUAAUUCGAAGCAACGCGAAGAACCUUACCAGGUCUUGACAUACUCGUGCUAUUCCUAGAGAUAGGAAGUUCCUUCGGGACACGGGAUACAGGUGGUGCAUGGUUGUCGUCAGCUCGUGUCGUGAGGUGUUAGGUUAAGUCCCGCAACGAGCGCAACCCCUAUUGUUAGUUGCCAUCAUUAAGUUGGGCACUCUAACGAGACUGCCGGUGAUAAACCGGAGGAAGGUGGGGAUGACGUCAAAUCAUCAUGCCCCUUAUGACCUGGGCUACACACGUGCUACAAUGGAUGGUACAACGAGUCGCGAGACAGUGAUGUUUAGCUAAUCUCUUAAAACCAUUCUCAGUUCGGAUUGUAGGCUGCAACUCGCCUACAUAAAGUCGGAAUCGCUAGUAAUCGCGGAUCAGCACGCCGCGGUGAAUACGUUCCCGGGCCU